GUAACGCGUAUGCAAUCUACCUUUAACUGGGGGAUAGCCCGAAGAAAUUCGGAUUAAUACCCCAUAACACUAUGAAAAGGCAUCUUUUUAUAAUUAAAACUACGGUGGUUAAAGAUGAGCAUGCGUCCCAUUAGCUAGUUGGUAAGGUAAUGGCUUACCAAGGCUACGAUGGGUAGGGGGCCUGAGAGGGUGAACCCCCACACUGGUACUGAGACACGGACCAGACUCC
rnacentral:rRNA from 1 species